rnacentral:lncRNA from 1 species
AACGGAAUUCGAUUGCACAAAGUGCGAAUUUCAAUAAUCAAUAAAGAUGUGAAUAAUCAUCAAUAAUUAUUCACUAACAUGCUUUGAAAAUAAUAACUCAAGUUGAGUUAGGAAACUUGCCUCGAUCGUAGGUUACAGCUACGAAAUUAAUUUCUAUCCACUAUGCAGUUAAAUUAUCUUCCUUUGAGAGACCUAUAAU